UCGGCGCCCUCCUCCCCCUCCCUCCGCGGGUCCCUCGUUUCCUGCCGGCGCCCGUUGCCAUGGCGACGGCGCUCCCGGGCCUCCGCGCUGCCGGCCCGGGGUGGUGUUUUCCCCCCUCGUUCGCCGUCCCUUUCUCCUCUUUUUUUUUUUUCCCUCCUUCUUUCUCUCCGAGUGCGGCUCCGCGGACGCAGGGGCGAGACUGAGCGAGUGCUGGCCUCUAGUGGGGAAGGCACCUCUCCGAGAAACGGAGGGAGAUGGAGAAGGGAGGGAAGUGACGUGGAGAAAGGGGAACAUCAGGGAUUUUCCUGGAGCGUCUGGGAAUAGGGGGUGGAAAGAAAGAAUCAAAGGGACCAACAGGCAGCGGGGGAGGAAGGGCAGGCAGCGACCCCGGGGCAGCGAUGGGCCGGGGAAGGAGCGAGCAGGAAAGAACAGCCAGGGCCGAGCAGAAGGAGGGAGCGUGCCGAUGGCCGCGUCGCUCACCUCAACUCGGACGGAGAAGGCGGGAAAGGACGCUGCCCGAGGCCGGGGGCCCUCGCUUCCAAGCCGCCUCCCCACACAACUGGCUGCGCAUGGCACGCUCAAGUCUGUCCUCCCGGGGCUGUGUGUCCUCGCGCGGUCUUAGUUCGAAAUGUGGGUGUGAAAGAGGAGGACAGAAACCGGGGAGAAGGCCGGGGCGCGAAGGGUAGACAAUGGGGCUGGACCUGGGAGCACCUACCCAGCGGUUCUCAACCUCCCUACUGCCGCGACCCUGUCAUACAGUUCCUCAUGGUGUGGGGGCCCCCAAUUUCAUUGUUACCAAUGGAACAUAAUUAAAGCAUAGUGAUGAACCACAAAAACAAUAUGUAAUUAGGUAUGUGUUUUCCGAUGGUCUUAGGCGACCCGGUGAAAAGGGUCGUUGGACCCCCCAAAGGGGUCGCGACCCCCAGGUGGAGAACCGCUGAAGCAUUUGCUCAGGCGGUAGCCUUUGUCGUGUAUGCGUGUUUUAUUCUUUUAAACUUUGAGCGCUUGGCAAGUAUCCAUAGGGCACUUGCGAUGUGCCACUCGCUGCUUUGGAAGCUCGGGUUACACCAGCGCGCGGCGCGCAGAUCCUCGCCCUCGUUAACCUUCACCGAAGGGGCCGGGGGACACCUUGCGGCUUAGUAACGAGGGGUGACGCUUCCUCUGCUGUUGGCAUAGUCCACUCAUUAUUUUUAACCUCAUAUCUUGUUCUCACCUCUGCGCUAUCCCGUUGUUUUCUUUGUCAGCCCACUCUUUAUUCUCGCCUUUAAAAGCCAAGGCGUGAUUUGUUUUCACAAAAGAUAGAGAAGUGUUCCCUUUGUCUAUAAGUUAGAUCUGCAUUGAGAGAGGGGUGUGUAGACUCUUAAUGAGCAGGAGCCAGGUUUGUGCCAGAGAAGAAUCUCUGCCAGGCGUCAAGGAACCAGUCAGACAAGGAUGCGAGGGGAGAAAGGAGAGGGCAGCCAAAGGCUGGAAAAGGGCAGACCUGAGGUGUAGGGGGGUGAAAGGGUAUGUUGCCAGGGUGAAUGACAGGCUUUGGCUGGGGAUGAAUUGAAAAAGAUUCUGGCAGAGAAUUAGUGGUGAAAACUAGGGAAAGCAUUCGUCAUUUAGAUUUGUGGCCUGUCAAAGUUGAAAGCUUCCUUGUGGAGGCUUAGAAUGGAUAUACUGAGCCCACGCUGAAUAUCCGAGGACCAAGAACAAGUUGUACCUAUAGAUAAUUUUCCGAUUAUGUGAUAUGCAGGCCAAGAAACAUUACUCAUGUGUUUUCAUGGGUUCCGUGGGAGAAUUAUCACCAAGUGUCUACAGAAGGCCUGUAAUACAUCUCAAGGAUAAGGAGUCCUGAUGCCACCGGUGUCUUUUUUUCCAACCGCCUAUGGAACUUGCAUACCUAAUGGGGACCUGGCCAUUUCAGCCCCAUUAGAUAUGGAGCAGAACCCACUACCAAUUCAUUUAGUCACAUCCCACCUCUAAGGAUUUUUUUUUUUUAAUUUCCUGAAUCUUCGGCCCCUACAUCUACUAAAAGUUACGAAUUUAGAUGGUGUCAGGGGAUAAGUUAGUGAUGAAGUAUAAUUGUGUUCACUGACUGAUAAAAAUCUAGGCUUGGGAUACUCUGUCACAGAGCAUGCCUUAUUAAUUAUGAGCCAGUGGUUUAACUUAUGUAGAGGCUUUACUCUGUAUUUUGCCGUAAUUCUUUUCAAGUUCAUUAUUCUCCAAGACACAGGAGUCUUUCUGGGUCAUAGGUUUAAGCAAUUUCCCAAAGAAAAAUUCAGUAUGAAAAAGAAAUGUAUCCAACAGUAAAAUGAAGUAGUAGAAAGCCUCCGUUCAUAAGACAGUCGUGGGCAGAAUUAGCUGGGAAACAGGUACGGAAUUGCUUCUCCACCUAAAUGGAACAAAACAAUUUGUGAUUCCUAGAAAAUGCACAACUGGCUUUUUUUAUAUUUUUCUAAACUUUCUCAUUUUCAUUUAAAGAUCCUGCUGGAAUUAGUCUUUUCUUUUUCAAACCAAAUAGUUCCUGUGAAUGGAAGCUAAAUAAUUUCUUAACUCUGCAUAACACUGAAAGUCAUUAGCCUAAAUAGGUGAAAAGGAAAUGCAUUCUAUCUGCCAGGUCAAAAAACCCUCUGAGAGGUUCCCCUGAAGGAAUGGAGGAUCCUUAUCUCUGAAGACAAAAGAACACCAAGAGGAAUCCACUUACCUCAUGCUCCUUAACUUAUGAUAUUCCUUCAUGACUAUGCACACUUCAUCCAACCCAGCAUAAAAAUACACCAGUCUAGCCUGACCGGCUUGGCUCAGGGUUGAGUGACCUAUGAACCAGGAGGACAUGGUUCGAAUCCAGGUCAGGGCACAUGCCCAGGUUGUGGGCUGGACCCAUAGUGUGGGGCAUGCAGGAGGCAGACGAUCAAUGAUUCUCUCUCAUCAUUGAUGUUUCUAUUCCCUGCUCCCUUCCUCUCUGAAAUCAAUAAAAAUAGAUAUUUUAAAAAAUACACCAAUCUAACUUGCUUUGGUUCUUCAUUUCUUCAUGAAGGUUCUCUUGUGUUACAUAUACAUUCAACUUAAAUAAGUUUUGUUGAAAUAAAUUUGCAGGCCCAAGAUGGAGCCACUCCUGCCUAGAGUUCCCGGCCGGCAAACUGAAACCUACAUAACGUUCAUGUCCCUGCAAAUGUUCCACUUGGCCAGAAACAGUCUAUCCAGUCGGCCAGUCCCCAAAUGCCAGGCCAACUCUGGGCUGUAUAUUACCACCUUUUUCGUUGUUCUUUAUCCUACAAAGCUUCCUGCCUUGCACUCUCCUAAUGGAGACUGUCCACUUCAUAAAGUGUUAAAUAAAGUUUGUCACCUAAA